GAAAUGCGAUACGUCAUGCGAAUUGCAAAACCAGUGAGUCAUCAAAACUUUGAACGCAACUUGCACUUCCCUUUGGGGAGUAUGUCUGUUGGAGUGCUUGUUCAUCCCCACCACAAACCCCACUUCCUAACAAGGUUCUGGGGUUGUGAAGCCCGCCUCUUUAGUCCUAGUGACUAAAUAGAGCGUAGAUGAAUAAAAAACAAAUAUCCGAUCCUAGUAGUUGUAAUCAGUCAGUAGUUUAUUCUAUUGAUACGACUCGGGAACGCGACGUCAUAGUGUAAUAACUUGAGUAUCGUGUUUUCGACUGUCCGAAUGAUGAAAGUUAUUAGUUCAAUCAGUUAUUUUUCGAUCGAGCCUCCAAUCAGUCAAGAAUACCCGCUGAAUUUAA
rnacentral:misc_RNA from 1 species